ensembl:lncRNA
CAUGCAUCAAAUAUUUAAGCCAUUAUAGCCUUAAAAGCCUUGGGGGUAAAGCUCAGUGUAAGCUGUGCAGUAUAUUUAAUUGGCCAUAGUGGGCUUUAUACAGGCACUUAUAGAACUGAAUUUGUGUGUGUGUGUGUGUGUGUGUGUGUGUAUAGAAAUACUACACUGUAAUGUUUUGUGGAAAAUGUUGAAUCUAAACUCCUCGUGUUGUUUUUGAUGGAAACACUCAUGCAUAUAUUUAUAUGUACUACAUUCUCUCAUGAAGUAGUUAUCUAGCACAGUUAAAGGACAAUCAUCAACCCCAGCAGGAAGUUUAGAGAGGAUGAAUUUCCUGUAUGUGUUCCUGUAGUGACUUACAGCUCAGAGCACUGAGAGCCUCAACAGAGAACUGAACUGAUCUGAUUGAACAUGGACAGAUGCUUCAUACUGAUCCUCAUCGUGGGAACAGGUUUGGUGGCUGGAGACAGCAUUGAUCCAGAUAAAGGAACAGACAAAAACACUGAAGAAAGAGAAACUGUCAAGCUGACUUGCUCUUAUACUACAAGUAGUGAAUAUAUUUUGCUUUACUGGUACAGACAGUAUCCCAACAGAGAACCCGAGUAUUUAUUACUCAAAAAUGCACGGUCGGCAGGUUAUUACGAACGCACCUCUGAUAAUCGAUUUCAGCUGACUGCAGCACGUACAUCCACUGAACUCACUAUCACUGAUGUACGUCUGUCAGAUUCAGCUCUCUAUUAUUGUGCUCUAAGAGUAGUAGCCCAGUGAUACAAAACAUGAGACAUGUCAUACAAAAACCUGAAGAUCUUUUCACUUUGAAAAUUCUAGUGAAAAACCACAAUCAAAACCACAAUCUAUCCAGCACUGAAUGUAAUAAAAUAUGUGGUCACAGCUGUGAGAGGCUGAAGCAGGCCUGUUAAAAAAAUUCCAAGAAGUAUUGACAAUAUGUUAAGAUAUCACAGCCUAUGUGGUUCCUUUUAUGCACAAAUACAUUCUUAAUAGAAUGUCUUAAUUGCUUGUCAUGAAGUAAAAAAAAAAUGGAGCAAUUAGAGGGCGGCUGGUUUGUUUAAUGGGUGCUGAGUGUGUACCCUGAGUGUGUAAUGUGUUUAUAUUAAAUGUAAAAUUUUCAAAUGAAAAGGGCAACAUGAUCAUUUUAUAAAGUAGGCCUAUGCGAUCAUAUGGAACGACAUGUGGGUAAGUGAUUAAUGACAACAUUUUCAUUUUGGGGUGGUCUAUCCCUUUAGCUCAUAUGAUCGCAUAGGCCUACUUUAUAAAAAAGGCCUACUUUAUACUAUAUAAAAUGAUCAUGUUGCCCUUUUCAUUUGAAAAUUUUACAUUUAAUAUUAACACAUUACAGUGUAUUAUUUAAUAUAUACAUAUUACAACUUUGAAAAUGGAUUAUCUUAACCGGUUGUUCAUUGAUAACAUAAAAUAAAAUAAUAAUACACAUGCUAUUAAAGGGUUAAUUAUGCACAUCCAGCUCAGUCAAUAUCAGCUUUGUCUUUAACUUUAUUUCCAUGCAACCUUCAAAAACUCUUAAUGCUGCAAAUGCAUUUAUGUGACAUGAAACGCAUUCUCAGGUAAGCAAAGGUGCUUUCUCUUUAUCACUUAUACAUGAAAAUAGAUUUUACAUUUCAAAGAAAAAAAAUAAAUUACCUUGAAUGUUCAACUCAAAAUUCUGUGGUUGAACUUCAAACACGUGAAAUGGAGUCAUGUGUUUCAACUCAGAUUUUUUCACCAAGGCUGUACUAUGAUUUAUUAUUUAAAAAUAACACUAUUGUAUGGGUAAGAUAUCAUAUUGGGGAAGAAAAAAUAUAAU